CCCCGCCGGGGAGGCGGCAGCUCAUCGCCACGAUGGCGAUCGGGUCGUCGUGGUCGGUGGCGACGGUCCGGGUGGCGGCCGGGCGCGGGGUC
rnacentral:tRNA from 1 species